AGUGAACGCUGGCGGUAGGCCUAACACAUGCCAGUCGAACGGCAGCACAGUAAGAGCUUGCUCUUACGGGUGGCGAGUGGCGGACGGGUGAGGAAUACAUCGGAAUCUACUUUUUCGUGGGGGAUAACGUAGGGAAACUUACGCUAAUACCGCAUACGACCUACGGGUGAAAGCAGGGGAUCUUCGGACCUUGCGCGAUUGAAUGAGCCGAUGUCGGAUUAGCUAGUUGGCGGGGUAAAGGCCCAACAAGGCGACGAUCCGUAGCUGGUCUGAGAGGAUGGUUAGCCAGAUGGGAACUGAGACACGGUCCAGACUCCUACGGGGGGCAACAGUGGGGAAUAUUGGACAAGGGGGGAAAGCCUGAUCCAGCCAUACCGCGGAGGUGAAGAAGGCCUUCGGGUUGGAAAACCCUUUUGUUGGGAAAGAAAAGCAGCAGGUUAAUACCCCGCUGUUCUGACGGUACCCAAAGAAUAAGCACCGGCUAACUUCGUG
rnacentral:rRNA from 1 species